AGAAAAAUAGAAAUCGAUUUGUCGGAUCGGCGGUGUUUGAAAAACAAUUUUUACGUUCUAUUUGAGUGGUAGGCAGUGAAAGAACCAGGCACAAGUAUUGGGGAACCGAGCACUUUCUAGAAGUGCUGCUGCGGGGAAAUAAUCAUCCUUGCGGAAUCGUCAAUUCCUGGCGGACCAGUGUCUUUCCGGUCUUUCGCAAACCCGGAGGAUGACCGCUUCAUUUAUCACGGCCAACCAUCCUUCACCUGAAUCACAUAUCGUACGCGAUCCCGAGGAAAAGUGCAUUAUUUAGGUGGCUGCCAUGGAUUCGACGCCCAGUGUUGAUCUGAAUGCAGGAGUAAUUAUAAUGUAAGGAAUGACUCCGACUCGGUUGUAUUGUCUAUCCGAGUCAUUGCUGUAACGUCGCUCAACCGGCGCCAUCGAUGGACUAGUGAGCGCUUUUCAGUUUAGUGUUGAACGCAUUAAGGUUAUUCACAAAUUUCAUAAU